rnacentral:tRNA from 1 species
GCAGCGGUAUCGAAGCGGUCAUAACGGGGCUGACUCGAAAUCAGUUUGCAGGCAACUGCACGUGGGUUCGAAUCCCACCCGCUGCGCCA